rnacentral:rRNA from 1 species
UACGUAGGGUGCAAGCGUUGUCCGGAAUUAUUGGGCGUAAAGAGCUUGUAGGCGGUUUGUCGCGUCUGCUGUGAAAUUUCGGGGCUCAACCCCGAACUUGCAGUGGGUACGGGUAGACUAGAGUGUGGUAGGGGAGACUGGAAUUCCUGGUGUAGCGGUGAAAUGCGCAGAUAUCAGGAGGAACACCGAUGGCGAAGGCAGGUCUCUGGGCCAUAACUGACGCUGAGAAGCGAAAGCAUGGGGAGCGAACAGG